rnacentral:misc_RNA from 1 species
CAAGAAGCCGAAAGGCUACUUAAAACCAUCGCGAACUUAUCCAAGUUGCUUCGGCGGCGCGGCUCCCCUCACGGGGGACCGCAGCCCCCGCCUCUCAGGAGGUAAGGGGAGCCGCCGGAGGUACGAAACUCUGUAUUAUAGUGGUAUCUCUGAGUAUAAAACAAAUAAGUUA